ACGCUCGACACCUACGGGGGCAGCAGUGGGGAAUAUUGCACAAUGGGGGAAACCCUGAUGCAGCGACGCCGCGUGAAGGAAGAAGUAUUUCGGUAUGUAAACUUCUAUCAGCAGGGAAGAAGAAAGUGACGGUACCUGACUAAGAAGCCCCGGCUAACUACGUGCCAGCAGCUGACGUAUNGNGGCGGNGNGACGAG
rnacentral:rRNA from 1 species